rnacentral:tRNA from 1 species
CCUCCGGUAGGUUAGUGGUUAGACUUCUAGUCUGGUAGACCGGAGGUGGUGGGUUCGAUUCCCACUUGAAACA